rnacentral:SRP_RNA from 1 species
CCUUGACACAUUUGAUGUGUCCUUGUGUUUACAAGGGGUAGAUAAGCACCUCCACCCAGCUAAGCCUGCAUCCAGAGACUAGUUUCUGGGUCUUCCAGACUGAAGACGAGCAAAGACUCAGGAACUAGUCUCUGGAUGCAGGCUUGGCUGGUUGGAGGUGCUUAUCUCC